UGGGGAAUAUUGCACAAUGGGCGAAAGCCUGAUGCAGCAACGCCGCGUGAGUGAUGAAGGCCUUCGGGUUGUAAAGCUCUGUCUUCUGGGACGAUAAUGACGGUACCAGAGGAGGAAGCCACGGCUAACUACGUGCCAGCAGCCGCGGUAAUACGUAGGUGGCAAGCGUUGUCCGGAUUUACUGGGCGUAAAGGAUGCGUAGGCGGAUACUUAAGUCAGAUGUGAAAAUCCCGGGCUUAACUUGGGAACUGCAUUUGAAACUGGGUAUCUAGAGUGCGGGAGAGGAAAGUGGAAUUCCUAUUGUAGCGGUGAAAUGCGUAGAGAUUAGGAAGAACACCAGUGGCGAAGGCGACUUUCUGGACCGUAACUGACGCUGAGGCAUGAAAGCGUGGGGAGCAAACA
rnacentral:rRNA from 1 species